rnacentral:lncRNA from 1 species
AGCAUAUUAAGGUUCCCAAGAAAUUUAUUAAAUAAAUCUUUAGCAGCUCCUUAUGUAGAUUAGAGCAGUCAUGGCGUACAUGAUUUAUUUUUGUGUCUAGUGCAAUUGGUAUACUAAUAUAUGUGGCUAGAGCCAUGAGUAUAACAAUAUGCUAGCAAGAUAUAGUUUUAUUCCAAUGUGGAUAUAUUGGAAUAUAAUUAGUAUUAUAUUUCAAAAGGAAUACUUGAUGUAGAUUUGUUUAUUCUAACAAAUAUUGCCAAAUUUUUUGUUGGUUAUGCAAAUGCGGGCAUUUUCCUGAAGUUCGUUCUUCAAAUAUUCUAUUUGCAUGUGAGAGUACUGUUGUAUUAUUACUUUACAAAGGCAGUUAAUUGUUGAUACUUAUUCAAGUCAUGCCAAGAUAAGCAAUUGAUAAAGCAAGGGGCUCAACACAUAAUAGACAUAUGACUUGACUUUGAAGAGAAGAUUCCAAUAAUACCGAAAAUAAUAUUGUUUUCUUAUAUCAAUUGAAAAAAGGACUAUCGAAGGAGACAAAACACAUUCACCAAAGUUCUUCAACAAAUUCGUUCAAGUGAUAAUUUGACAAACUUCUUCACAAGACAUUGUGGAUCUCCAUAUUAGAGAAGUUGUUAUAUAAGCUUGGAAUUCGUCGUCUCCGAAGAAUAAAGUGAUGUUUUUAUUAGGGGAGGCAAAUACACGCUGUACUCUUUUUCCUUUAGCUAGGAUUUUAUCCCACUAAUUUUUUAGACAAAUACGUGUUGUACUCUUUUUUCCUUAGCUAAGAUUUUAUCUCACUAGAUUUGGAUUUUUUUUCUAGCAAGGUUUUUAAUGAGGCAACAAAUAAUGCGUAUUACAAGAUAUUUGUACUCUUUUUCCUUCACUAAGAUUUUUUUCCAUAGGGUUUUUCUUAGUAAGAUUUUAACGAUGCACAUUAUCUAUAGAAAUCCAAGGGGGAGUAUUAUGAAAUAUUAUUUUGUAGUGGUUGUCUAUAACUCCUAAAGAAGUUACUCCCACUACUCUUCUCCAUUAAGUAGAUAACUCCCACUACUUCUCACCAAUAUAGUUGUAACUCUCACACCUCCAUAACUUCUCCAUGAUCUUCUCCAAUGAUCUCAAUAGUUAAUACCAUGUUUAUGAUAUCCCUUUAUAUACCUCAAUAUCAGCCUAUAAAUAGAGGGUUUGGACAUUAUAUUGGACACACUUGAAUACAUGAAAGAAAUAGAUUCUCUUAUCUCUUUCUCUCUAUAUUAUUAUCUAUCUUUUUUUUCAUAUUAUUACUUUAAACUAAAUCUUGUAAUACUAAUUAAAUUUUCGAGGGCUACAAAGGGUUAUUUUCUCUAACAAAUUCGACUUUGACAAGGAUAGGGAGAGAGAGGAUGAAAUUAGAACUAGUAAGUUUUUCUCAAGCAUGCCAGCCAGGUUUUUUCCUAGUAAGUUCCUUUCUCUUUCCAACUUUAUUUUGUAUUUUAUUGUUUUUAUAUUGCUGUUGAACUAAUAAGGGAAUUUCACAUUAUGAAGUCUUUUUAUGAUACAUAAUUUUGUUCGCUAUUCAUGGCAAUAAUCUGAGAUCUCGUGGCAUUAUAGGCCACAUAUCAAACUAAGAGAACCUUAACUCCGUACACCACUAGUACCUUCCCUUUUUCUUUUCUUUUUUUAAACGAGAAAGAUAACUAAUACUUUCAUCAGUUUAAUGAAUUGUAAAUUUGUGAGCGAUAAAUAAUUUUUUUUAUUUGUCAAAGCCUUGCAUGUCAAAGUUACUCGACUUUAAGAUAAUAGAUACCUGUUGCAAUAGUUAAUGAGCAAUUUAUGUAAAUUAUCCAUUGAACUUAAAGUAAUUAUCCUUUCCUAUCCAUUUAAAAAUUAUUUAGAAUAUGUACUUAUAACCUAAUUAAAACUCACCCCUAUCUACCCACCCAUUACUGUUUGACUUCGCUUUAACUUGGCUUGGCUUAGCUUGCUUUGGCUUGGUUUGGCUGAGUAGCUUAGCUUUAAUUAGCUUUGCUUGGCUUAAAUUGGCUUUUCUAAAUUUGGUUUAGUAGCUAAGCUGAUUUAGUUUUGCUUGACUUAGUAUAGUAGCUUGGCUUGAACUGACUUAGCGUUGCUUGGUUUUGUAGCUUAAUUUGACUUUAUUUGAUUGGCUUUGACUAGGUACUAAAAAAUGAGUAGAGGGCAAACCACCAUGGGGCAAGGGCGGGUAAAUAGUUUCCCCUGCUUGGAUAUUUGCCAAAGAUCGCCAUGCUUGGAUGUUUGCCAAAGAUUGCCAUAGUUAACGCGCACACAAGGUUGGCCCGAAAAUAGCAAGUAAUUUAGUAGGUGUUAGGAUACAAAAUUAAAAGUUUUUAAAAAAAUUAUAUUUGGAGUUAAAUUGAAAAAUGAUAUUUAAAAUUUUUUUAUUUGGAUAUGCAUUUCACUUCAAAAAAAUAUAACAGCCUUUGUGAGUGGAAAAAAAAUCCGAAAAUUUUGAAAAAGUGAUUAAAACCACUUUUUGGUUUUUGAAAAGCCAUUUGGAAAUAAGAAAUCUUUUCUUUUUUUAAAAAAAUUUCAUUUCUUUUUGAAAUCAGCGCUUGUUCAUAAAAUUUUUAAUUUUCACUUGAAGAUGCAUUUUGGAAUUUUUCGAAAAUUUUAAAAACUCCAAAAAAAUAUUUUCCAAAAUUCACUUAGAUCACUCUCUAAACUUCAAAACACCCAAAAUUAUGUUUAUGUCCAAAGACAAUUCUAAUUUUCAAAUAUCAUUUUUAUUUGAAAAUUUUUCAUUUUUUUCGAAUUUUACGAUCCUUAUGUCCAAACGCCCACAAAAAACUCUUUUUCAAAAAAUUUUCAAAAACUCACAAAAUUUCAUGGACAAACACAUUCUUAACCCGUACAACACCAUUAUUGUAGAAAAUAAACAAUACAACUAGUACAUGUGUUUAGCGUGUAAUAAGUCUUCUCUAUCCUGCAAUAAUGAUGACUCCGAUACUCUUUCAACUGUGGACUCUCCUUAUCUAACAAAACAUCUACUCCAUUGUUAUCAAGAAAACUAGCGUAGGAAAAUGCAGUUGCUUUCUUCUUAAAUCUUAAUAGCAGUAUAGCCUCAACCACACCUCAUCUCAGUACUUCACCAAGCUUCUCCAUCAAAAGAAAUUAUCUACAUUUAGUUUGAUAAAAUGGAGACAGAACCAACAUGGCAUGAACUGUUAGGAAGCAACAACUGGGAAGGUCUUCUUGAACCAUUAAAUCUCAAUCUACCACAGCUAAUUCUCCGCUGCGGCGACUUCUGUCAAGUAACUUAUGAUGCUUUUAACAAUGACCAAAAUUCUAAGUAUUGUGGCACCAGCCGUUAUGGCAAGAAUACAAUAACAAUAACAACAACGACAGCUAACUCUCCGCUGCGGCAACUUCUGUCAAGCAACUUAUGAUGCUUUUAACAAUGACCAAAAUUCUAAGUAUUGUGGCACCAGCCGUUAUGGCAAGAAUACAUUCUUCCAAAAAGUCAUGCUAGAAUCUGCUUCCAAUUACAAAAUCUCCGGCUUCCUCUAUGCCACUGCCCGUAUUAGCGCGCUUGGAGCCGUUUUCCUCCACUCUCUGUCUCGCGAAGCUUGGGACAGAGAAUCCAAUUGGAUUGGUUAUAUAGCUGUUACAACUGAUGAAGUCAGCCAAGAACUAGGCCGUAGGGAAAUUUAUGUUGUUUUCCGUGGCACAACAAGGAAUUACGAAUGGAUCAAUGUCUUAGGUGCCCGGUCUGAAUCUGCUGACUCUUUGCUUCGUCCCAAGUCUCUGCAAAAAAUUGGAGUAAAUGGUGAUAACAGCAAAAGCAGCAAUGUUGAUGAUGGGGUAAGUGGUGAUAACAGCAAAAGCAGCAACGAUGUUGAUGAGAAUGAGCCCAAAGUCGCGAAUGGCUGGUUCAAGAUUUUCGCUUCCAGUCUCUGCAAACCUUUGCUUCGUCCCAUUGAUGAGUAUGAGCCCAAAGUCGCGAAUGGCUGGUUCAAGAUUUUCGCUUCCAGUCUCUGCAAACCUUUGCUUCGUCCCAAGUCCUUGCAAAGAGUAGAGUAAACGGUGAUAACAGCAAAAGCAGCAGUGAUGAUGAUGAGAACGAGCCGAAAGUAAUGGAUGGCUGGCUCAAGAUUUAUGUUUCCAACAACCCAAACUCGCCCUUCACGAAACUAAGUGCAAGAGAACAGCUGCAGGCAAAAAUUGAAGAAUUAAGGCAACAGUAUAAAGAUGAGAAAUUAGCUUUUCCAACAACCCAAAUUCGCCCUUUCACAAAACUAAGUGCAAGAGAACUGUAGCUACAAGAUUAUCUAGCUUCAAAUUCUAUACACAUAUAUUUAUUUUUUGAUGUAUAUUUAAUGUAUAUUGCUUGUAUAUCAUGUAUAUCUUGUAGUUACGCUAGAACAUAUAUUUGAGCCCAUUUUUCUUUUGGUAUUAGUUCUGGCCCGAGUUGGCCCACAUAUGUAAUAUAUACACUGACCCCUUUUGUAUUAAGGGUCAGUCGGAUAUUUUCAUUUGAGUAGUUCUUUCUCUUUCUCUGAAACUCUCUCUAGAAGUUUCUACCUAACCGACCCAUCUUCAUCUUCUUCUUCAAUCUUCGUCUGGAUUUCUUAAUGUUUUCAUGGUAUCAGAGCCAGGCCCAUCCCAAUUAUUGUUACCGAUGUUAGCCCUCAUUUAUGUUGUCCACGCUCCAGAGAUCUGGGCGUGAGGGGGUGUUGAGUUGUCCCACAUCGGAGGGAUUUGAGGUCCUUGGUCUCCUUAUAUGGCUUGGGCAAUCAUCACCUCAUAAGCUAGUUUUUAGGGUUGAGUUAGGCCCAAGGUCCAUUCUUUUCAAAAACAGCUGCAGGCAAAAAUUGAAGAAUUAAGGCAGCAGUAUAAAGAUGAGAAUCUUAGCAUAACUUUUACAGGACACAGUCUUGGUGCUAGUCUAGCUACUUUAGCAGCAUUUGAUGUCGUUGAAAAUGGGGUUAAUGAUGUUCCAGUAGCCGCUAUUGUCUUUGGGAGUCCUCAAGUUGGGAACAAGGCUUUUAACGAAAAGAUCAAGGAAUACUCAAAUUUGAAAAUCUUACAUGUUAAGAACAAGAUUGAUCUCAUUCCCCUUUAUUCAAGUGCUCUAUUGGGGUAUGCAAAUACAGGCACAGAACUAGUCAUCGAUAGCAGAAAAUCUCCAAGCUUAAAGGACUCAAGAGAUACGGGUGACUGGCACAACUUGCAGGGUAUGCUACAUGUUGUGGCUGGUUGGAAUGGGGAAGAUAAAGAGUUUGAGCUGAAGGUGAAGAGGAGUGUAGAGUUGGUGAAUAAGUCAUCUUCUUUCUUGAAAGAUGAGUACUUGAUUCCAGGGUCAUGGUGGGUUGAGAAGAAUAGGAGUAUGGUUCUUGAUGAGAAUGGGGAGUGGAUUUUGGCACCACCUUCAGAUGAGGAUCUUCCAGUCCCUGAAUAUUGAAUUGCUUUCAGAAAUAUUUGGAAAUGAGUAGUUUGUUCAGUUUGCAGUUUUCUAGUUGAUUUGAUGGUAAGAGGGGUUGCUCUGAUGGUAAGAAACCCCCACUUCCAAUCGAGAUGUUGUGAGUUCGAGUUUCCCCAAGAGCAAGAUGGGAAGCUCUUGGAGGGAAGGAUGUCGGGGGUCUAUUUGGAAAGAGCCUCUCUACCCCAGGGUAGGGGUAAGGUCUGCGUACACAUUACCUUUCCCAGACCCCACUAAGUGGGAUUAUAGUGGUGGGUUGUUGAUUGUUAGUCUUGCUUCGGACUUGUAAAUGUGAAUGCAUCCAAUGUCUAUCUUGCAAACAAUGUACUCCCUUCAUUUUUCCGUUUCAUAUUAAAUUAGCUACUUUCCUUUUUAGUAUGUUCCAAAAUAAAUGACACAUUUCUAAAUUUGUAAAUAAUUCAAUUUUAAACUCUUCAUUUUACCCUUUUUGCCCUUAAUGAGAAACUUUUAUAGUCACACAAAUUGUAUGGUCCCACAAACUUUUUACCCGUUAAACUUUUAAAACCACAAGUUUCAAAAAUCUUCUUCUUUUUUCUUAAACUCCGUGCCGAGUCAAACUAGCUCAAACAAUAUAAAACAAAGGGAGUAUAUAUUAUCACUAACGUUCUACGGUACUAAUGUCAUGUGAGGUCAGGGCUGAUCCACUAAUUCGGCACCAGGUUCACACGAAUCCAGUAUUUUCGACAUAAAUCAUGUAUUUUUAUGUGAAAACUGCGGAAAAUCUCACAAAAAGUUAAAUUUGAACUCAUAAUUUAAAAAGUACAAUGAGUUCAGUAUGAGUAGACUAGAAGAUUGAACCCAACAAAUUAAGAUCCUACAUCCGUCUCUAAGUGCAACACUCAGCUUAACUUCUGCAAUUCUAAGAACUUAACCCAAAAAAAUAGGGAAAACUAUAUAAUAUACGCGGCCGCAAAAAUAAUUGUCGGCAAAAUGUAUAUUUUUUGGUAUAUUAAUGCAUGGUAUACAUAUUUUACACAUAUCUUUUAUAAAUUGGCUAUCAGAUCUAAUUAUUUUGGACCGACCGCCCAAAUGAGUAACUUGCCCUACAAAAUUACCUAAAGAAUCAUGGCCCAUGCCAAUUAAUCCUCUCUGGUAGACUUGUACAUGCGAAGAAGAAACAAGAUUAAAGAUAAAAAAGGGCUUUUCAAUUGCUCUUCAGUUAUUUCCUUUAAAAUAAAUAAAAUAGUUGAGGAUGAGUUACCUAAUAAGAAUGAUUCUACAACUAUAAACCUUCAUGGCCUCCUUCCCCAGUUCUUACUACUUUUUGUAGCAAGAAAAGAAUAUCUGCAAAACAUUACAUAGACAAUCCAUAUUAUUUUCUGUUUAUAUCUUCUCCAAAUUCUUUUCAUAUUAAUUCGAGCUUAUAACCUAGAUAUCCAAAAAUGUUGAACACAAAUGUAACUGGAUGAGGGUGAAGCAACCUAGGACAUGAAAACAAUAACAAAAGAACUUAAGUAAAAUCAAAAAAAAAAGAAGAAGAAAAUGAGAACAAUCACUCAAAUCUUCAAAGAAUCAUUUAAGCCUUCGACCAAACAAACCAACACCUGCAAGUUGGUCUCAAUCUCUUUCAUUUUACAGAAACACAUGUAGAGGUUUUAAAAAUGUCUGGCUCAAGUUGUAACUGUUGUGUAAAUUUUCAGAUUUUAGAAACAUAAUAUUAAUACUCUCAUACUUCCGCACAAUCAAAAGUAGUGUUCAUACACCUAUUACUGCAGCAAGAAAAUCUCAAACCCAAAAUUGACCAUCUUCUUUGUUCAAGAUGCGUUAAUUAACUGGUAUAUAAAAAACUAUACACAGGAUCUGGAUAUUAAAUAUAACACGAUUAUGCCAGGAAUGUACUCUAUGACUAUUGGGUGCCGGAAAGUUGCAUAACAGUAUCUGUUCCUUGCAUCAAUCAGGAAAAAACCAAGUUUCUUGCAUCAAUCAGGAAAAAAACCAAGGACAACUAGAUAUUGGAAAUUUGUACAAUAUUAUGUGUUCCUUGCAUCAAUCACAAGUCUGGCGUCUGUUUAAGGCUGCCUCAAAGCGGCUCAACGAGCCUGCUCUCAUUUCUGUACACAUGUCAUUCUCUGGCGCCGGAUAGUAAUCUUCUCUCAUGAAACCAAACUCCUUGCAUCAAUCAGCAAAAAAACCAAGGACAGCUAGAUAUUGGAAAUUUGUACAAUAUUAUGUGUUCCUUGCAUCAAUCACAAGUCUGGCGUCUGUUUAAGGCUGCCUCAAAGCGGCUCAACGAGCCUGCUCUCAUUUCUGUACACAUGUCAUUCUCUGGCGCCGGAUAGUAAUCUUCUCUCAGCUGUACAUCUCUUAGGUUUGGGAUUCUAAGUAGGAACAUCAUGAAAUGUUCAUGCGCUGUUCCAUGGACGAACAACUUUCUGAGCGUAAGGCAUUCUUGGAGCAGCCCAGCUGCCGGCAGUGAUAGACUCCUUUGGUUAACAAUCUUGUGGUGGCCAAUAAUCAAGCUCCCUGAGAUUCAAAUGGCCAAUCCCAAAGAGAUAAAACCGUUCUCACAAGCUCAAAUCCAUCUGCCCAGAUGGGGCAGUGUGUGCAUAACCUAUGAUAUCCCCACAAUCCAAAUGCAUCUUCACAAGCUUAGGGAACCGUGUAAGGGUGCUCAACCCAAAUGCCCUCUCUGAAGGUUUUGGCCAUAGCCUACAAUCUCCUUCUACCUUAAUCUUAAUCUCUUCCAAAAUAGGGCAAUCUUGAAGACCUGCAGCUGCUAAAGGAGUCAAAAGCUCACCAACACCAAUCCAAAGUGAGAGAUACUGCAGCCUGUCCCAUGUUCGUUCACCAUAUCCAUUGCCAUGUCCAUUCUCUUCCACGUAAACACUUUGCAAAGAGUAGAGUAAACGGUAUGUUCGUUCACCAUAUCCAUUGCCAUGUCCAUUCUCUUCCACGUAAACACUAUUAAGAUCAUAGGAGUACUUGCAUCUUUUAUUCCUGUUAAACAUGAGAUCGUCAUCAACUGAUCCAGAUGCGUCCCCGAUCCCAGCAGGAUGGCUUAAUGCCUCACCGCCAUUUGCCUUAUUGAGAUCAAACCCGUAUUCAACACAACCAUCAAGAUUUUCAAUUUCUUCAACACUAUCCCACACACAAUCAAUAUGAAGCCUCUCGAUACGUUCUUGUAUCGGUUCCAAUGCUUUCAACGAAGAAUAUGCUCCAAGAUUUUUGCAACAACAUAUACUGACAUCAACCAAACUUUUCCGGAGCAAAGAAGCUAGUGUUCUCAUUCCUCUCAUCGUGAUCUUCUUACAAUUCCGAAUCUCAAACUUGGCCAAUCUUGUACACCCUCUACCAAUUGCAAUCAAACCCAUAUCAUUCAGAUCACCCACAUUCCUAAUCGAUAAAGAUUCUAAUCCCGGACAAAGCGCAACACCAUCCAACUUUGACUCAAUUGGCAUAGAAAUGCCAUGAAAUUGUCCCAACUUCAACAAUUUCAACUUGGGACAUUUCUUGUUCAGCACUUCCAAAGCAGGACCACUAUCUCUAACAUUAAUAGAAACAUCUAAUACAAGCUCUUCAAGUAAAGGAAGACCCGAAAAUACCUCAAUCAAAGUAGAAACACUAAUUUUCCCAUCGUCGAUACUAAACCCCUCUUCAUCUAGAUCACUCGCACUCCUGCAAUUAGACAAAACAGACGUAUCCGCUAAAUGAAGCACAGAUAAUUUGGGACAAUUUUUAGCUAUGCAUACCAAAGCCUCAUCACCAACAAAACCAAUGUAUCUAGGAUCAAACAUACAAACAACCUUAAAAUCUUUCAAAUAAGGACAGCAUUUAGUGAUGACUCUAAUCUCAUCCGUCUUAAAACCUUCCGAAAAUGAAGCGUUUAAGAGAUUUAAUACAGUCAUGUUACUGGCAACAACAGGAUUCGAUUCAAGGGCUGGUGGUAAAUGCUCAGUCCAACAAUAAAAAGUAGAUAAGCCAAGCGAGGCCAGUUGCGAGCACCCUUGAAAUAGUAAGUUGAACUCAUCCCCACUAGCUAACUGCGGACGCUGGUGCCAUCGGACAAGCUUGAUAUGCUUAAGCUGGGGCCACUGGAUGGGCAAGAGCUGGAGCGUGUGCAGGUCACGCGCGUAGACAGUGAGUGAACUGACUGAAGGAAAUGCGUGGAGGAGAAGGUGUGCGAUGAGGGUUGAAUCAUCAGCGCCGUCGUUAUCUGCGGCGGCGCGUGGAGAGAGGAGGGGAUUGCCCCAAGGGGAGAGGAGCGAGAGGUCGAGAUGAGUAACGGAUCGGAAGCAAGUGGGGAGCAUGAAAAGGUCGUUCCUGCUGCCUCGGAGCGUGAGGGAAGUGCGGGUGGAACGUUCUAGGACGAGCCAUUUACGGCAGACCAGGGCGGCGACGUUGCGGCUGCGGACGUCGGAGACGGCGGCGAUUAUGUUGGAAAGUAUUACGUCGGGGAGGUCAUUGAGAGUAGUGGGUCUAGCUGAAGUUGCCAUUGAAAAAAGUUUGUUGAAAAAUGAUGAGUCGUGAAUGAGAAUUGGAGGAUUAUGGGGUUUUUGAAACUCAAUAAACUAUUGGUGUGUUUGUGGGGGUGAGGGUGGGGUGUGGGAUAGAGCAGGAUGCUGGGUUGCAGGGAAUGGGACGAUGAGCAAGACCCAUGUGAGUGUCACGUACCCGUUUGACAUUGGAACUUAAAACAAGAUAACAUUCGUGUUAGAUGACUUCAAAUUUUAAACCAAUAAUUAUUUUUUUUUUAAACUUCCCACGGUAAUUUAUAGAUGAAAUUAAGCCUUUUGAGAGUGUAGAAUGUUAGUUGUGCAUCCCACGCCAACUAUCAUUUUGUGAAAAAAUUGUCACUGUUAUGAAAUAAUAUAAGAACUAGAACAAUAAUACAAGAAUCAAGAACAAUAGAGAGAAAAAUAGAGAGAGUAGUAUUCUUAUUGAUAUUUUGGGAUGGUUAGGGAAUGUUUACAAUGGUAGAAGACCCCUUUAUUUAUAGGGAGAAGUAAACCCUAGAAUCUCUCUAAUAAAUCACCCACAUUCCUAAUCGAUAAAGAUUCUAAUCCCGGACAAAGCGCAACACCAUCCAACUUUGACUCAAUUGGCAUAGAAAUGCCAUGAAAUUGUCCCAACUUCAACAAUUUCAACUUGGGACAUUUCUUGUUCAGCACUUCCAAAGCAGGACCACUAUCUCUAACAUUAAUAGAAACAUCUAAUACAAGCUCUUCAAGUAAAGGAAGACCCGAAAAUACCUCAAUCAAAGUGGAAACACUAAUUUUCCCAUCGUCGAUACUAAACCCCUCUUCUUCUAGAUCACUCUCACUCCUGCAAUUAGACAAAACAGACGUAUCCGCUAAAUGAAGCACAGAUAAUUUGGGACAAUUUUUAGAUAUAUAUACCAAAGCCUCAUCACCAACAAAACCAAUGUAUCUAGGAUCAAACAUACAAACAACCUUAAAAUCUUUCAAAUAAGGACAGCAUUUAGUGAUGACUCUAAUCUCAUCCGUCUUAAAACCUUCCGAAAAUGAAGCGUUUAAGAGAUUUAAUACAGUCAUGUUACUGGCAACAACAGGAUUCGAUUCAAGGGCUGGUGGUAAAUCCUCAGUCCAACAAUAAAAAGUAGAUAAGUCAAGCGACGCCAGUUGCGAGCACCCCUGAAACAGUAAGUUGAACUCAUCCCCACUAGCUAAUUGCGGACGCUGGUGCCAUCGGACAAGCUUGAUAUGCUUAAGCUGGGGCCACUGGAUGGGCAAGAGCUGGAGCGCGUGCGGGUCACGCGCGUAGACAGUGAGUGAACUGACUGCAGGAAAUGCGUGGCGGAGAAGGUGGGCGAUGAGGGUUGAAUCAUCAGCGCCGUCGUUAUCUCCGGCGGCGCGUGGAGAGAGGAGGGGAUAGCCCCAAGGUGAGAGAAGCGAGAGGUCGAGAUGAGUAACGGAUCGGAAGCAAGUGGGGAGCAUGAAAAGGUCGUUCCUG